CCUACGGGAGGCAGCAGUGGGGAAUAUUGGACAAUGGGGGGAACCCUGAUCCAGCGACGCCGCGUGAGUGAAGAAGUAUUUCGGUAUGUAAAGCUCUAUCAGCAGGGAAGAAAGAAAUGACGGUACCUGACUAAGAAGCCUCGGCUAACUACGUGCCAGCAGCCGCGGUAAGACGUAGGGGGCAAGCGUUAUCCGGAUUUACUGGGUGUAAAGGGAGCGUAGGCGGGGAUGCAAGUCUGAAGUGAAAGGCGGGGGCCCAACCCCCGGACUGCUUUGGAAACUGUAUGGCUGGAGUGCAGGAGAGGUAAGUGGAAUUCGUAGUGUAGCGGUGAAAUGCGUAGAUAUUAGGAGGAACACCAGUGGCGAAGGCGGCUUACUGGAGUGUAACUGACGUUGAGGCUCGAAAGCGUGGGGAGCAAACAGGAUUAGAUACCCUAGUAGUC
rnacentral:rRNA from 1 species